CAUCCACACACAGAUAUAAGUACAUUAGACACAUCCACACACAGAUAUAAGUACAUUAGACACAUCCACACACAGAUAUAAGUACAUUAGACACAUCCACACAUAGAUCUAAGUACAUUAGACACAUCCACACUUAGAUCUAAGUACGUUAGACACAUCCACACACAGGUCUAAGUAUAUUAGACACAUCCACACAUAGAUCUAAGUACAUUAGACACAUCCACACAUAGAUCUAAGUACAUUAGACACAUCCACACAUAGAUCUAAGUACAUUAGACACAUCCACACAUAGAUCUAAGUACAUUAGACACACACCACAUCCACACAUAGAUCUAAGUACAUUAGACACAUCCAAACAUAGAUCUAAGUACAUUAGACACAUCCACACAUAGGUCUAAGUACGUUAGACACAUCCACACAUAGAUCUAAGUACAUUAGACACAUCCACACAUAGAUCUAAGUACAUUAGACACAUCCACACAUAGAUCUAAGUACAUUAGACACAUC
rnacentral:sRNA from 1 species